rnacentral:rRNA from 1 species
AAUGGGCGCAAGCCUGACGGAGCAAGACCGCGUGAGGGAAGAAGGUCUGUGGAUUGUAAACCUCUUUUGAUAGGGAAGAAGACAGUGACGGUACCUAUCGAAUCAGCCUCGGCUAACUCCGUGCCAGCAGCCGCGGUAAUACGGAGGAGGCAAGCGUUAUCCGGAAUUAUUGGGCGUAAAGAGUCCGUAGGUGGGUAACCAAGUCAGCUGUUAAAUAGUGAAGCUUAACUUCAUAGAGGCGGCUGAAACUGGUUGUCUAGAGUGUGGUAGGGGUAGAGGGAAUUCCCAGUGUAGCGGUGAAAUGCGUAGAUAUUGGAAAGAACACCGGUGGCGAAAGCGCUCUACUGGGCCUGCACUGACACUGAGGGACGAAAGCUAGGGGAGCGAAAGGGAUUAGAUACCCC